GCACUGGUCGUCCAGAGGCAAAGACACCGCAUUCGUAAUGCGGCUACGAGGGUUCGAGUCCCUCCCGGUGCUC
rnacentral:tRNA from 1 species